rnacentral:rRNA from 1 species
CUCAUCAAUGGCUCUCCUGGGCCUCCGAUCGCCCAUGCCUACGGGUUGCAGCAGGGAGACCCCAUUUCCCCCAUGCUCUUCACUAUUGCCAUUGACGCCCUGAACUCGCUUCCUCUGCAUGCCCACCAGUGCGGCUUGCUCCAGCGCCUCACCGCUCGCCACGCCUCGUCGAGCAUAUCCCUCUACAUCGAUGAUGUUGUUAUCUUACGCCACCCCUCGGUCCGCGAUCUUCGAGUUAUCCGCGAGCUUCUGCGUGUCUUCAACGAGGCAUCC